GAUGAACGCUGGCGGCGUGCCUAAUACAUGCAAGUCGAGCGAACAGACGAGGAGCUUGCUCCUCUGACGUUAGCGGCGGACGGGUGAGUAACACGUGGAUAACCUACCUAUAAGACUGGGAUAACUUCGGGAAACCGGAGCUAAUACCGGAUAAUAUAUUGAACCGCAUGGUUCAAUAGUGAAAGACGGUUUUGCUGUCACUUAUAGAUGGAUCCGCGCCGCAUUAGCUAGUUGGUAAGGUAACGGCUUACCAAGGCGACGAUGCGUAGCCGACAUGAGAGGGUGAUCGGCCACACUGGAACUGAGACACGGUCCAGACACCUACGGGAGGCAGCAGUAGGGAAUCUUACGCAAUGGGCGAAAGCCUGACGGAGCAAAGCCGCGUGAGUGAUGAAGGUCUUCGGAUCGUAAAACUCUGUUAUUAGGGAAGAACAAAUGUGUAAGUAACUAUGCACGUCUUGACGGUACCUAAGCAGAAAGCCACGGCUAACUACGUG
rnacentral:rRNA from 1 species